rnacentral:rRNA from 1 species
AUAUCAAUAAGCGGAGGAAAAGAAACCAACAGGGAUCGCCCCAGUAACGGCGAGUGAAGCGGCGACAGCUCAAAUUUGAAAUCUGGCCCCCCGGCCCGAGUUGUACUUUGCAGAGGAUGCUUCGGGCGCGGCGCCUUCCAAGUCCACCGGAACGUGGCGCCACAGAGGGUGAGAGCCCCGUAUCGUUGGCGGCCAAGCCUGUGUGAAGCUCCUUCGACGAGUCGAGUAGUUUGGGAAUGCUGCUCAAAAUGGGAGGUAGACCCCUUCUAAAGCUAAAUACCGGCCAGAGACCGAUAGCGCACAAGUAGAGUGAUCGAAAGAUGAAAAGCACUUUGAAAAGAGGGUUAAACAGCACGUGAAAUUGUUGAAAGGGAAGCGCUUGUGACCAGACUUGCGCCGGGGCGAUCAUCCGGCGUUCUCGCCGGUGCACUCGCCCCGGCUCAGGCCAGCGUCGGUUCGCGCGGGGGGACAAAGGCGCCGGGGACGUGGCUCCCUCGGGAGUGUUAUAGCCCGGCGCGUCAUGCCCCCGCACGGACCGAGGUUCGCGCUCUGCAAGGACGCUGGCGUAAUGGUCACCAGCGACCCGUCUUGAAACACGGACCAAGGAGUCGAGGUUCUGCGCGAGUGUUUGGGUGUCAAACCCGCACGCGUAAUGAAAGUGAACGCAGGUGGGAGCUUCGGCGCACCACCGACCGAUCCUGAUGUUCUCGGAUGGAUUUGAGUAGGAGCGUAGGGCCUCGGACCCGAAAGAUGGUGAACUAUGCUUGGAUAGGGUGAAGUCAGAGGAAACUCUGAUGGAGGCUCGCAGCGGUUCUGACGUGCAAAUCGAUCGUCAAAUCUGAGCAUGGGGGCGAAAGACUAAUCGAACCAUCUAGUAGCUGGUUACCGCCGAAGUUUCCCUCAGGAUAGCAGUGUUGUCUUCAGUUUUAUGAGGUAAAGCGAAUGAUUAGGGACUCGGGGGCGCUAUAUUGCCUUCAUCCAUUCUCAAACUUUAAAUAUGUAAGAAGCCCUUGUUACUUUGCUGAACGUGGGCACUCGAAUGCAUCAACACUAGUGGGCCA